UUGAAUUUUCGUGUAUAGAAAAACUUUUGCUCCACUUCUUAGUUGAUUGAGGAAUAUUGGAUGCAUAACAACAUUUAUUCGUUUGUCUUAAAUUGUUUAAAUAGUUCGACUUCUACUCUGUUUUUUUUGGACUAGAUCUCACUGUAAUUAGAAGUUCUGUUAAUCCUAAUAUUUCUCUAUGCUAUUCGUUACAAACAGAGGACAAUGAAAUCAAAUUUAUAUAUUACGCUGUUUGCUACGCUAGGAUGGAGAUGAGGCUGACCUUCUCGGGAAGACCGGCGCUAACUAGAGCAACGUUGGCAUGUGCCGGCACCUCCACCGUAGUUCGACAAACGUCUCUGGACCUGGUCGCCUCCCAGUCUUUUCCUCGGGUCAGCAUGAUUCCUUGCCCUCGCCAAAAACUCGUAUGGUUUUGUUCAUUUGUUUUAUAGGCCACAGAUUGUCGUGAGUUCGCCUGAAGGAUUAUCUGGCCAUGUCUAUGGGAGGCCCAAGAGGCGAGGGUGAUGACAAGGCCAUAUUUAUGUUCUGGAUAGGGGUCACAACCAUUGCCGGGGGAAAGUCAACGAGAAGUGGAGACAUGCAUGAUCCAAGUGAUGAUGCAUGAAUGUUUACUAACGCUGAAAUUUGCUAUAGCAACAGUAGAUUG